GCUGGCGGUGCGCCUUAUGCAUGCAAGUUGAGCGAAGCUUUUUGGUAGUUUACUACUAGAAAUGACUGAGCGGCGAACGGGUGAGUAACGCGUGAGCAAUCUACCUUAGUUACUGGGAUAGCCCGAGGAAACUCGGAUUAAUACCGGAUAUUCUUAUUUUUUCACAUGAAGUUUUAAGGAAAGGUCAGCCGAACUAAGAUGAGCUCGCGUUCUAUCAGCUAGUUGGUGGGGUAAAAGCCUACCAAGGCUACGACGGAUAGCUGGUCUGAGAGGACGAUCAGCCACACUGGGACUGAGACACGGCCCAGACUCCUACGGGAGGCUGCAGCAGGGAAUAUUGUGCAAUGAGCGAAAGCUUGACACAGCGACACCGCGUGUGGGAUGACGGUUCUAGGAUUGUAAACCACUUUCAGGAGGGAAGAAAAUGACGGUACCUCCACAAGAAGACCCGG
rnacentral:rRNA from 1 species